ensembl:lincRNA
UAAACAUGUAAUCAUCAUUCAAGCCACUAUCUAAUACAGCAUGUUGGGAUGGAAGGAUUUUGUUUCACUCAGGCAUUCCCAGUUCCACCUUCCUUUCAUUUUGUGGAUUAGUCCUCCUGUAGGCCUUGCACAGGUGAAGAUCCUGGCUGUAUCUACUUAAUUCGACAGGCAACGGGGAGCUUUCGAAUAUUUGUGUGCAGAAGGCUGGAGGUCACAGAUGUAUGAUAUACUUAGUAAGUGCUGGGAGAAGAAAGAAAGGAGAUCUAUCAGAAAGGAGCGAACAAGGGAAGGAGGAAACAGAUCUACUCCACUACGCUAGCACGCAGAGGAGGAUGGAGAACGCAUCCAGGGAUUUAUUGCCCAAAAUGAUGCUCAAGACCCCUCACAUCAGCAGAAGAACAAAACAGUGGUACAGACUGGACAUAAUUGUCAAGAGGAAGAAAGAAGAGAAGGAAUAGAAUCACACCAGAGAGCCCAGAAAUAUGGAUGGCUUUGAAAGAAAUGCCCCGUGAUUACCUGGAGUCAGAUGGAGCAUCAGCCCAGAAUUCCACAUGAGGAAGUCAUGGGUGCUGGUUUUUUUCACUCUGCACUGCUCCCCAGAAGUUCUCUACAUGAAAGGAUUCAUUUAUUCAGAAUCAACUCUCUUCCCUGUCAAAAUGCAUUAACCAGAACCCUGAAGGUUGAGUGAGGCUGACAGACUCUGAAAAUUCCCUCCCAUAGAGACCCCCUUCUGAAGCUGCUGAUCUUCUUUCCCCUUUACCUGCCCCCAUCCUGGAUUCUUGGAUGUGGAUGAUGGGGGAGGUAAUAUGAGGAGAAUUUUAUAUCUUGAGGGGUACUUCUUAUUCUGCAAUUGUAUACUGUGUUUAAAGUCAUUUUAUCUAGGCAGGGGUGAACUACAAAUAGCUUCUCCAUAUCCUUCUGUUCCCUUCUCCUUGCCCUGAGAGACACA